GUGCCAGCCGCCGCGGUAAGACGGAGGGUGCUAGCGUUGUUCGGAAUCACUGGGCGUAAAGGGCGCGUAGGCGGCCUUUUCAGUCGGGCGUGAAAGCCCGGGGCUCAACCCCGGAACGGCGCCCGAGACGGGAAGGCUGGAGACCGGGAGAGGAGGGUGGAAUAGCCAGUGUAGAGGUGAAAUUCGUAGAUAUUGGCUGGAACACCGGUGGCGAAAGCGGCUCUCUGGCCCGGGUCUGACGCUGAGGCGCGAAAGCGUGGGGAGCAAACAGGAUUAGAAACCCCUGUAGUCC
rnacentral:rRNA from 1 species